rnacentral:lncRNA from 1 species
AUACGAAAACAUGGUCAUUAACUCUGAGAUUCAAGACAUAAGAAUGAGAGCUACAAUUCAAAACAUCUGAAUAAGAUCUGACUCAGUCUGUGAGAUCUCUACUAUAUCUCAAAACUAUUCUGAAAACUGGGACAAGACCCCCAGUAGACCAAAACAACGGAAUAACAUAAUCUGAAAUAACAGGCCUUCUAGAAUAAAGAAGGCUCACCACUGCAUGGAUCACUUCUCUCUGGAAUCCUCUAUUGAUUAGCGGGACCCUUGGACUGAGCCUCCGAACCUGAGAGGUAGGGGAUCAAUUCAGAUGUACUGGUACGAAGAGCAAAUCCAAAAUAAUAAUUUAUAUUCAACAUAUAUGAGAGUAAUUUAAAAUAGUUCAUAAACAUAUCAUAUAGUAAGAAAUCUCAUGGGCAUUUUCGAAAGACUCUGUAAAAUCAUUUGAACUCUAUUGACACUUUUUGUUUUACUUUUGUGCUAGGUGACAUACCCUACAACUCUGAAAUUCCACGGGCUAUAUAGGAUUCGUCAUUAACUCGGCGGGGAGAAAAAGUUCUAGAGAAAGAGUUCUUUGAGACCCUUAAUGAGACGAAAUAAAAUAUAACUGGGAUCCAUAUUUUAUGGGCCACCGCGACGCGCCACUAUCGCGGUGGCUCAGUGGGAAUUGACGAAUGGGAUUCUUGGGGUCACCACGACACGGAGUCAUCGUGUUGUCCCACUGGUUGUCAUAAUCACGCUAGGCUACUGGAAUUUGACAAUUGUUAAAUAGACCACCUCCGUGACGCGCCAAGCACCAAAAUGACGGUGUUUUACGACUAAGACUUAAAUUAGCCAUAACAUCUUGCCCGGAUAUUGUAUUUGGGCGAAUCUUAUAUCGACGGAAAUCUCAUUCAAUUUCCCACACUACAUAAUUGAUUAACAUGGAAAAUUUGCUUAGGAUUUGUGGCUUUUGGAUCAUCUACGCAUAGAAAUGACGGUUUUUGUUCUAGCCCGAAAUGCGGAGUGUUACAAUAUCUAGAUAAUUCUACAAGAUAUUUAUUCAAGAUACUACACUAGGAUAUUCUAGAAGUUCCAAAAAAAAAUCUAAUAUCUAAAAAUUUCUAGAGAAAUCUUAUUUCCUAACAAAUACCAAAUGAAAGCAUUAAAUGCAUUUUUAGUUAAAUCGUUCAAAUUUGACCCAACCUACUCAUUUGACAUUAGUAGAUAGUGAGUGUUGGAAUUUAUUCAAUUGUUUUAACAGUCGAAUUAUUGGGUUUCCGAAAAUGGGCAGACGGACUACAAGUCUGCAACUAGCAGCUUAUAUCAAAAUUGUGACAACAAAUUAUGAUCUGUUCCUAGCAAAAGUUACUAAGUAAAAAUUAAGGUGGGAUAUGAGAAUUUAACAUAGCAGUAGAGAUAAAUAUAAUCGUUUUUUUAGAAUACAACCUCAAUUAUUAUGAUCACAAAGUUGGAUGAAAAAGGCAAAUAUGUUGAAGACUUGAGGAUUUACCCGUAGGGAUAAAUAUGAUUUUUUUCUAAAAUAUAAGGACAAAUAUAACUCUCAAGAUGGAUAAAAAAGCAAAUAUAUUUAAAAAUAUAUAUAUAUAAUGACAAAUAUAACCUAUUUGUAAAAUUACAAGGACAAAUAUGAUAUUUUCCCUAAAAAUUAUUUAGCUAUUGGUAUAACACGGAUGGCUUUGGCAAGUACCACAGCAUCAUGAAUGGAAAGUCUAAAAAAAUUGGAUUUAUAUUUUAGGAUAAAAAGUCAAUAAGCCCCUCAAUUUUUAAUCCUUUAUUAAAAUUGGAUAUAAUCAAAAUUAUGGAAGAAUAUUCAACGGGGUUUCUUCUUCCUAAAUGGCAACAAGUGACUAUGGAAAAUUACAAUUGUUAUUGAUUCUUCUUUUCCAAACAAACAAACAAAUUUUUGCGAAAAGUUGAAAUUAUUUUCAAUCUCAAUGAAUGAGAGAAGUCUAGCUGUGUUAUCAUUGAAGAAGAAAUUACUUGGAUAUUACCCUUCUUUUUCUUUGCAGCUUCAUGCGCUUGUUCUUUCAGCUGUCCAUUUUGUACAUAUUUUACAGUGGAAUUUGAGCCACAGGCUGGUAUUCUAAUGCAGUUCGAAGAGAAAUUUGCUAAUGCUGAAUGAAUAAUAUUCAAUGAAAAUCUACCAGUUG